GAUGAACGCUGGCGGCGUGCCUAAUACAUGCAAGUCGAGCGAACGGACGAGAAGCUUGCUUCUCUGAUGUUAGCGGCGGACGGGUGAGUAACACGUGGAUAACCUACCUAUAAGACUGGGAUAACUUCGGGAAACCGGAGCUAAUACCGGAUGAUAUUUUGAACCGCAUGGUUCAAAAGUGAAAGACGGUCUUGCUGUCACUUAUAGAUGGUUCCGCGCUGCGUUAGCUAGUUGGUAGGGUAACGGCUUACCAAGGCAACGUGGCUUAGCCGACCUGGGAGGGGUAGCGGGCCCGAGGGAGUGAGGACCCGGACCGGACCCGAGCGGAGGGCCAAAGUAGGAAGGGAGCCAGAAGGGGGGAAUGCUGCACGAUGGACGGCCGCGUGAUGAAGAAAGGCCGCGGGUGGGAAAACGCUGUUAUUGGGAAGAACAUAUGUGUAAGUAACUGUGCACAUCUUGACGGUACCUAAUCAGAAAGCCACGGCUAACUACGUG
rnacentral:rRNA from 1 species